AGGGAGCAAGUCAGGGUGAUGCAGAAGGGAGGGGGAGAUCAGGCUUAGUCAGGGAAGGCCUCUUGGAGGAGAUGGGCCUUCCCUAUUUGAACGCGGGGAAGAGUGAUCGUCGGAUUUGAGGCGGGAGAGAUUUCCAGGCCGGAGGCAGGAGGCGCAAGAGGCGGCGGCGGCGAGGCGGAUGAGACGGCGGUGCGGCGAGGAGGUUGGCACUGGAAGAGCCAAGUGUGCGGCCCGGGUUGGAGUAGGAGAGGUGAGGGAGGAGGGAGCGCGGUGACUGAGUGCUUUAAAGCCGAGGGGGAGGAGUUUUUAUCUGAGGCAGAGGUGGAUUCAUUCGUUCAUUCAUUCGCUAGUAUUUAUUGAGCGCUUCCUAUGUGCGGAGCACUGUACUAAGCGCCUGGAAUGGACAAUUUGGGAACAGAUAAAGACAAUCCCUGCCCGGUGACAGGCUCACGGUCUAAUCGGGGGGAGACGGGUGGACAAAAACAGGACAACAUAAUCACAAUAAUCAGAUCAGACACGGUCCCUCUCCCACUUGGGGCUCACAGUCUCAUACCCAUUUUUCGGGCGGCCACCGGCGUCUCCUGGUGAGUGGGGAGAAAAAAUAGCCUAAACGUUUUUGGAGAAAAAUGACCCCGGGCCGGCAGGGAGAAGUACGGGCUGGAGUGGGCAGAGGCAGGAGGAUGGGAGGUCGGCAAGGAGGCCCAUGGAGGAAUCAAGGCGGGAGAGGGUAAAUGAUUGGAUUGACGUUUGAAGGACACAACUCCGAUAACAACACAACACAACGCACUCGACUAUUUUUCCUAGAAGGAACUGAUGGGUUCAUUUCUUUCUUCUUUAAAGCCCAGACCAUCUGCCCGAGCGUUGACCGCCGGAGCCUGAAGAAAAGAGCUCCCUUCGUACGGUUCGUGCUUUACCCACCAGGCCCUGCUGCUUCUCUAAUUGGAUUGAAUUCGAUGCGACCUGGGGAGGAGAAAAAGCAGCGUGAUCUCCCGGAUGGAGCUUGGGAAUGGGAAUCGGGACAUCUGGGUUUUAAUGCAGUCUCUGCCUCCUGGCUCCUGUGGGACCCUGGGCGAGCCAGGUAACUUCCCUGUGCCUCGGUUUCCUCGUCAGCGCUUGAACGGGAAGCAGCGUGGCCUAGCGGAUAGACCACGGGCCUGCGGGUCAGAUGCCCUGGGUUCUAAUCUUAGUUCCGGUGCUUCUCAGUCAGCGGUCACUGUGUUCUAAUCACUUGGGAGACUACAACACAACAAGAAACGGAUACCUUACCUGCUCACAUCGAGCUUUCAGUCGAGAGGGGAGCUUAGAGUUUAGAAGGGGCCUGUUGUGUGACCUUGGACAAGUCACUUCACUUCUCGGUGCCUCAGUUACCUCAUCUGUAAAAUAGAGAUUAAGACUGUGAGCCCCCUAUGGGACGGGGACUGUGUCCAGCCUGAUUGUUUGUAUCUAUCCCAGUGCGUAGUACAGCGCCUGGAGCAUAUUAGGUGCUUAUCAAAUACCAAAAAAAAAAAAAAUCUCCGUUCUCCCUCCUUCUUAAAUUGCGAUCGAUCUGCUUAUAUCAUAUCUAACCCAGUGCCCAGCCCAGCGCGUGGCGCGUAGCAAGGAGGAAGGGACGUAAUUCUUAUUAGAGGCUGUGUCCAAUCUGGUUAUCUUUCAGCAACUUCACACGUAGUACGGUGCUUCGCGUAAGGUAAGCGCUUCACAGAUCCCACCAUUUUUCAAAAAAUAAAUGUUAAGCACUUAUUCUGAGCUCUGGGAUAGUCACAGAUUAAUUAGGUCAGAGACAGCCCCCGUCCUGCAUGGCGAGCACAGUGUAAGCAGGAGAGAGUUACAGGUAUCCCCAUUUACAGUCGAGGAAACUGAGACACAGAGAAGUGAAGCGACUUGCCCAAGGUCGCACAGCAAGCAAUUGGCAGAGCCAGGAUUAGAACCUAGGUCCUUCUGACUCCAAGGCCCUUGAUUCCUCCACCAGACCACGCGGCUUUCACCGUGGUUAUAAAUCAGGGCGGGCCUCCUGGGGGUGGUCGGAUUCCAGAAGCGUUUGAAGACGGGGAGACCUGGAUUCGAAAGGGGAGGGAAGAGGCCGAUUUUGAUGAGUGAGUCCGUCCGCGCAGUUCCAGCCUUGACCCAAAUGGAAAAAUGUCACCAUUUGAAUUGUCGCAGACCAAUCCCCGGCCUCUUCGCUGGACCGGGAAUGUCUUUAUUUCCGCAGAAGCGUUCGCAAUCCGUCUUUUAAGACUGGUGCCCAACCAGACUAACAGAGCGAUCAUAAUGGGUCAGGACUUGCAAACUUCAUCUUCCGUGUGCUACUAUUAGGUUAGUGACCAUAUAUAAUAGGUAAUUCAGGCCCCCGCCGAGGAGCGGGUGUGGGUGCAUGUGUGGAAUUUCUUCUUCGGCCGCUCUAAAACUAGAGUUGAAAUAGAGGAUUAAAUCGAAACGGAGAGAAAGGGAAUGCGUACGGCACUCUAGAAAGAACACCCAUUAGUUCCGGGUUCUCCGGUGAUCGCGCAGACAUUAAUGUUUUAGGAGGUCAUUAUUUGCUAAAGCCGUGAUGACUGCUUCUAAUCCCCGCCUAGUGUCGUGCAAGAAUCAAACAAUUCUUUUAAUACCUGGAUCCCUCAUCUUCUUAUGGUAAUAUACCGAUGUCAAGGGGGAUUUGUGAGUAAGCUGCUAAAUAACAGAACUUUGUUUCCUCUCGAUCGAUCCUUGUUCCCUCAUCCGAUUUGCUCUGGGAGGUGGAAAAAAAAUAACCACACCCAGAAAUCAAAGGUAUGGAUGAUCAAAUUGCACUUCCAGAAAAUCCUGAAGCCACUAAAUCUGUAAUUUAUUUUAAUGCCUGUCUCCCCCCCUACAUUGUAAGCUCCCUGAGGGCAGGAAUCACGUCUACCAAGUCUGGUAUCGCACUAGUCCGAGUGUCGAGUACGGUGCUCUGGACACAGUUAACCCGCCAGUGAAUACCGUUAGAGAAGCAGCGUGGCUCACUGGAAAGAGCCCGGGCUUUGGAGUCGAGGUCGUGGGUUCGAACCCCGGCUCUGCCACUUGUCAGCUGUGUGACUGUGGGCGAGUCACUUAACUUCUCGGUCCCUCAGUUCCCUCAUCUGUAAAAUGGGGAUUAAGACUGUGAGCCCCACCUGGGACGACCUGAUUCCCCUGUGUCUACCCCAGCGCUCGGAACGGCCCUGGGCACAUAGUAAGCGCUUAACAAAUACCAACACUAUUAACGUUAUUAUUAUCAUUGAUUGAUCGAUCGGCUGAUGGGCGUCCAGGCUAUAGACCUGACCCAAGAAGGAUCUUCUCAAGGGCCCCCAGAACCCUAAAUCCUACGGUAUUUAAUGCCAAAAUGACAGGAAGACUUGAACAGAAAGUCUACGAGAGAGUGGGAAUUUUCAUUUAGAACUAAGCGUAAGCUUAGUCUCCCAACUCCACGUUAGAUCUCGAGCUUGUUUAAGAUCAGAAACUUGUCUUCUAACGGUACUGGACUUUCCCAAAGUACAGCCCUCUGCAUUAAUGAGAAGCGACGUGGCUCAGCGGAAAGAGCCCUUGCUUGGGAGUCAGAAGUCAUGGGUUCUAAUCCCGGCUCCGCCGCCUGUCGGCUGCGUGCCUUUGGGCAAGUCACUUUACUUCUCUGUGCCUCAGUUCCCUCAUCUGUAAAAUGGGGAUUAGGGCUGUGAGCCCCACGGGGGACUACCUGAUCGCCUUGUAUCCCCCCCCCCCCCCCGCGCUUAGAACAGUGCUUUGCACGUAGUAAGCGCUUAACAGAUACCAUCAUUAAAGGCGGGGCUUUGUGUUUUCUACCUUCGCUGGUCUUUCCAAAAUGCACAGUAAAACACUCGGCACCUGGUAGACUAUAAGCUUGUUCUGGGUGGGGAAGGUGACUGCUAAUUCUCUUGUACUCUCCCAAGCGCUUAGUACGCGUGCUCUGCACACGGUAAAUUCUCGAUAAAUGCCACCGAUGGAUCGAUUGACUGAGGGAGGGUAAACCCCUCCAGAGAAGGGGUCUCGUUUUCUAGUCUUUGGGCUCUUUCCAAGUACUGCACUCUGCACACGACGGGUGCUCGGUAAAUACGCGUGCAGAGCCGUUCAGGCCGUGUUUCCCCUCUCCUCAAGAACCUCCAGCAGUUCCCCAUCCGCCUCGACGCCGGACAGGAACACCUCGCCACUGGCUUCAAAGCACUCAGUCACCUUUCCCGCUCCUCCCUCACCUCGCUACUCUCCUACCGUAACCCACCCUGCAAAGUUGGCCCCUCGAACGCCAGCCUUCUCCGGGUACCUCGAUCUCCUCCAUCCCGCCGCCAACCUCUCGCCCGCGUCCUGCCUCUGGCCUGGAAUUCCCUUCCUCCUCAUAUCCGCCAGGAAUCACUCUCCCCUCCUUCACAGUCUUAUUGGAGGUACGUUGCCUCCGAAGCUCCUUCCCUGACUAAGCCUGUUCUCCCACUCCCUCCUGCAUCACCCUGCCUUGCUCCGUAUGUUCGUCUCCCUCCCGUCCCCACAACACUUAUGUAUUCAUCUGUAAUUUUAUUGGUUUAUAGUAAUAUAUGUCUGCUCCUCUAGACUAUAAGCUCACUGUGGGCAGGGAAUGUGUCUGUUCUAUUGUGAUAUUGUACUCCCCAGGUGUUUAGUACGGUGCUCUGCACGCUGCAAAUGCUCAAUAAAUAUGAUUGACUUAUUUCGGGAUGAAAAAAGAG
rnacentral:lncRNA from 1 species